rnacentral:rRNA from 1 species
AUUGAACGCUGGCGGCAUGCUUUACACAUGCAAGUCGAACGGUAACAGGGAGCUUGCUCCGCUGACGAGUGGCGAACGGGUGAGUAAUGCAUCGGAACGUACCGUGUAAUGGGAUAACGUAGCGAAAGUUACGCUAAUACCGCAUACGCCCUGAGGGGGAAAGCGGGGGAUCGUAAGACCUCGCGUUAUACGAGCGGCCGAUGUCGGAUUAGCUAGUUGGUGGGGUAAAGGCCUACCAAGGCGACGAUCCGUAGCGGGUCUGAGAGGAUGAUCCGCCACACUGGGACUGAGACACGGCCCAGACUCCUACGGGAGGCAGCAGUGGGGAAUUUUGGACAAUGGGGGCAACCCUGAUCCAGCCAUGCCGCGUGAGUGAAGAAGGCCUU